GACGAACGCUAGCGGCGUGGAUUAGGCAUGCAAGUCGAACGGUAUCAUCCUUUCGGGGGUGAGAGAGUGGCGAACUGGUGAGUAACACGUAGGUUAUCUACCCUCAAGACGGGGACAACCCAGGGAAACUUGGGCUAAUACCGGAUGUGAGCAACUUUUAGUUGUUUGAAAGGUGGCGUAAGCUGUCGCUUGGGGAUGAGCCUGCGUCCUAUUAGUUAGUUGGUGAGGUAACGGCUCACCUAGGCAAUGAUAGGUAGGCGGCCUUAACGGGUGGUCGCCCACACUGGGAUUGAGAUACGGCCCAGACUCCUACGGGAGGCAGCAGUCGAGAAUAGUCUACAAUGGUCGGAAGACUGAUAGUGCGACGCCGCGUGAACGAUGAAUCCCUUCGGGGUGUAAAGUUCUUUUAUAUGUGAGCAGUGCUUCUUAUAUUAACAGUAUGGGGAGAGAGAUAUUAGCAUAUGAAUAAGCAACGGCUAACUCCGUGCCAGCAGCCGCGGU
rnacentral:rRNA from 1 species